GAAUACGACUCGACCCGGGAGCGGGGAGGCUAACCAACGAAGGCAACGCCAGGCUGAGGCCACGCACCGUCUGUCUUGUCUCGCCGCAAACCUAACGAAAGCGCAGCGCUUUCGUCUCCGUCGCUAGGGUUUCGGUCUCCGCAAACUCGAUCUUCCGGGAGGGCACGAGCCGGUGCUAUUGGUUUUGGUGCGGCGGCCUGAGAGAGAUGCCGCCCAAGUCGGUUAAGAGGGGCGGCGCCGCGGCGGCGAGGAAGGGGUCGGCUACGAAGGCCAGACCGGCGAAGCCCCAGCCGGUCGCGGAGGAGGCGCCCGUCGAGGUGGUCAAGGCAGCGGAGGAGGCUCCCCCUAAGGUGGAGGAGCAGAAGCCACAGCCGUCGCCGCCACCACAGCAGCCGGCCGCCGAGGAGAAGGCCAAGGCGGAUGCCGCUGAGAACGGCGCAAGCCACGCUGAAGAUGAUGGAGCUGCAAAAGAAACAUAUGAAGAAGAGGACAAAGGUGAACGACUGGAGUUCGAGGAUGAGCCAGAAUAUGAAGAGGAGGCUGCUGUCGACUACGACGAGAAGGAUUUGGAGCAGUAUGAGGAGCAAUAUGAAGACGGCGAUGAAGGGUUGGAGUACACUGAAGAUGUAGUCGAAGAGGAGACUGAGAUGGUGGAUGAGGAGGAACUGGAUAAUGGUGGGGAUGAUGGCGAGUGUGAGGAAUAUGAAAAUGCAGAUGAAGACCACGAUGUGGACGUGGAGGACGAAGACCAUCAUGAAAUGGUGAAAGCACAUCGUAAGAGGAAGGAGUUUGAAGUUUUUGUUGGUGGGCUAGAUAAAGAUGCAACAGAAAGUGACCUGAGGAAAGUUUUCAGUGAAGUCGGCGAUAUCACUGAAGUUCGUUUGAUGAUGAACCCUGUUACGAAGAAGAAUAAAGGCUUUGCCUUCCUGCGAUAUGAGACUGUGGAGCAAGCAAAGCGUGCUGUUUCAGAUCUGAAAAAUCCGAUGGUGCGAGGUAAGCAAUGCGGUGUUGCUCCUAGUCGUGACAAUGAUACACUUUUUGUUGGCAAUAUCUGCAAGACAUGGACAAAAGAACAUCUGAAGGAGAAACUGAAGAUCUAUGAGGUCGAGAAUUUUGACGAUUUAAUAUUGGUUGAGGAUAGCAAUAACCCAGGGAUGAACCGUGGGUAUGCUUUACUUGAGUUUUCUACUCGCCCUGAAGCUAUGGAUGCUUUCAGGCGGUUGCAGAAGAGGGAUGUAGUCUUUGGAGUUGAUCGCACUGCUAAGGUUUCCUUUGCCGAUUCCUACCCUGAAGUCGAUGAUGAAAUGAUGGCACAGGUCAGAACUGUAUUUCUUGAUGGUCUCCCCCCGUCAUGGGAAGAAGAUCGUGUUAAGAAGUACCUUAAAAAGUAUGGAGCUAUCGAGAAAGUUGAACUUGCCCGAAACAUGCCCGCGGCCAAAAGAAAAGAUUUUGGGUUUGUUACUUUUAAUACGCAUGAUAAUGCUGUUGCAUGUGUUGAUGGGAUAACUAGUUCUGAGCUUGGCGAAGGUGACAGCAAGGCAAAAGUGAGAGCCAGAUUGUCAAGGCCAGUACAGAGACCUCCUAGAAUGAAGCAUGGAUUAAGAGGAAAUUUCAGGAUUGGGCAUAGUGCUCCUCGAGGCGGCCGUUUCCCAUACACUCGGCCUCCUCCACGCCGGCCUCUGCCACGUCUUGUACGGCCUGAUACUCGCUUACCUCCUAUCAGGAGGCCUCCACUGAAGAGGCCAAUAGAUAUUAGAGAUAGACGCCCUGUUAUGUCAAUACCAGAUAGAGUUAGGCGUUUGCCUCCUCCAGAGAGAUCCUAUGAUAGAAGGCCCCCAGCUCCUGUUUACCCAAAGAGAAGCCCAAGGAGGGAAUAUGGAAGGCGUGAUGAACCUCCUCCGCCAAGGAGCAGAGCUACCUUUGCUGCUGAUUACAGUGCAAGAGUUCCAGUUGAUAGGCGCCACACUUACAGGGACGACUAUUCGCCCCGUGAAUCAGCCUAUUCAGACCUAGCUCCUCGCAGCGCUCCCCGUUUUUCUGACAGGAGAGCAUAUGCUGAUGAUGGCUAUGUAGAGAAGAUUGACCGACCUUUGCCAACCUAUAGGGAGGGCCGUGGACGUGAUUAUGAUACAAUAUCUGGUUCAAAACGCUCAUAUGUUGAGAUGGAUGACGUGCCUCCUCGGUAUCACGACAUUAGCGUUCGUCAGCCCAAGGCACGCUUAGAUUAUGAUGUUGGUGGUAGCAGUGCUCGGUAUGCAGAUGCUUAUACUGAGAGGCUCGGGCGGUCACAUGUGGGAUACACUAGCAGCAGAUCUGUCGCUGGUCAUGACCCGGUGUAUAGCAGCAGCCGCCAUGGCUUGAGUUAUGGAGGUUCUGCGAGCACUGGAGAUGCUGGUGGAAACUACUCUUCAAAUUACAGUGCAGACUACAUGCCUCGUGGAUCUGAUGUUGGUGGAAGUUCAUAUUCAUCGCAUUACUCGGGUCGUAACACGGGCAGCAGCAGUGGCUACUUUGGCGGCAGUGGUUCCAGUUCGUACUACUAAGAUGUGGCACCAUAGGAGGUUGGUGUAGGCCAUGGAUUGUACGGAGCUCCUUAACUUAAGGCCUAUGGAUCUGGACAAGUGGCAAGUGUGGGCAAUCAAUAAGGCAUGUCUGAAGGAGCCAGGAACAUCGAGUUGGUUGAAGCAGUAGUCUUGUGGAUGUUCCGGCAUGUUUAUUUAAUGUAAGGCUUUGCUUUAGUUGGUCAAGAGUUGUGAACUAGCCAGCCAUGGUGUGUUGACAUGUUUACUUCCAGUGUUUCUAUAACAUUGAGAGAUAUGGAGUAUUUCAAUAAGUAAUCUUUGAGGUCGUUUCCUUGCUGCAACACAAGGUGUUUUGGAGACCCCACCUUUGAUGACCCAGCAGAAGAUCAGACUUACGAAUGAAGCCUUAGAAGUGAGCGCUUCAUGUAAGGCUGUUACUUCUGAAACCUUUGGUUCAGACCACGCUGCAUCUGUUCUCUAGUGGAUUGAACUUUGCUACCUGAGACUGAAAGAUCAGGUUGAAAAUUUGGACUAGUUAUUUGUUAAACUGCACUGCAGAUAAAAUUGGAUUUGUUGGUUGCCAGGUUCUGGGAGAAACCUUUUGUAUGGCUCAAGUAGUUCUUUCACCAAGCAAUUUCUUUGGCCUCCCCACAAUUUUAAGAUAACAGAAUUCACAGCUACAUGACUGGAUGGCCUUGCAAUGCUGUCAAACAGCAGCAUAGAGUACAUGGCACCAGAUAAAUUUAACAAGCAUUAUCAACACUGAGCACCAUGGUUUAUGAAAUAUCUUUGAACUUCUGCAUGGAGCAUGGAUCAAUACAUCUUUGAGCCAAAUAUCUGUUUGAUGGUUGCAAGUUUUGAAGAACUUUGCUGGAGGCAUGAAUCUGGUCUUUCUGAGUUCUGCUAAUUCCUUUAGUAUAGUUUCUAGUGCACUAUGACUUAAUAUAGGUUAUUAUAUAUGAUACACUUAGGGGUUAUUAUAUAUGAUACACUUAGGCCCUCGUUGCGUAAUAUAGGUUAUGUAUAGUACCUUUAGGCCCUCAAUUGCAUUAGAUUGUUGGGUGUGGGCGGGGGUGGAUGGUUUUAGAAGAACUGAAUUUCUGAUAUUGAAGUUCCUUCCUUGCAUCAUCUAUUUAUAAAUGAUGUUUGUGAUCACUAAGAGGUUCUGCGUCUACAAGUUUAUAAACAACAAACUUAUCCAAUCUUUUGGGAGUUGUUGAUGUCAUGUGCUAAUUCGAAGAAAUAGGUAGGUGAAAGAGAUGGUUGAAAAUACAAAUUAUAGAGGCUACAUAAAGCGGCAAUAAGGAUAACUAUGAUUAGAUCUGGAGAUCAAAGUUAUGCAUUUUUGGUUGGCUACUCUUGGAAAGGGGCUUGAUGUGGUCUCUUCCGAUGCUGCAUUGAGAUGGCAGACUUUGGCAGUCUUCAGAAACAAAGCAUUGGUUAUAACUGAGCUAUUUGUUGGCCAUCAUAUCAUCUGUUUAAUAUUUGUUGGAGUAGGAGUCCUUGGGUGAAAUCAACAAUGAUGUUAUUAGAACUUUUAAACGGCAUUAGAUCACCAAUAGUGCAAGGAAAAUUUAUACAUUUCAGCAAAAUGAGAGGGUGCCGGUGAAUCUGGAGACGGGGAUUGGAAGUGUGAUGGAAUCAGCACUGAUUGGUUGAUCUAAUGCUCAAAACCAAGGGCGGCUGACUUUUAGGACAAAGAAAGGUAGAUCAGGUGGCUACUAAUUUACAAGUUUUGCAUCUGGGAGAAACAUUUUCUUCAAACUGCAAGUGUAAAAGCUCAGUUUAAGUUUCUUUUGCAUCAUGGACUAUCGAAUUGAGGCUAUCGAACCUUGCAGUUAGGUCCAACUUGUUUUCAGUAGAAACAUACGAUAACUUGCAUUCAUGAAGACUGUCUAUAUGUUCCUGAAGAUCGCAAAUAUUAGUUGAUGACGAAUGUUUGACAAAAUAUCUAUCUUCGAAAUCCUCACUCUUGCAUUUUUUUUUCAAUUUGAGCAAUGAGUUAUGUUAGUACAAUCUCCAUUAAUAUGUACUCCCUCUGUCUGAAAAAACUUGUCCCAAGCUUAUCCUUCAAAUGGAUGUAUCUAGAUGCAUCCAUUUGAGGGACAAUCUUUUUCGGACGGAGGGAGUAUUUGAAUACUAUAUUCACACUUGCAGUUUUGAAUUUGAGCUGCAAUGGUGCAAUAUUCAUUGCAUCUCCAGUGUGUUGUAGUGUAUUCUUCUAAGCUUAGCUUGAACUUACCAUGCCGCAUCUUUACUACUCCCUCCUUCCCGAAUUAGUUGUCUUAGAUUUGUGUAAAUAUGGAUGUAUCUAGACAUGUUUUAGUGUUAGGUAUGUCCGUAUCUAGAUAAAUGUAAGACAAUUAAUUUGGGAUGGAGGUAAUAUUAACCUGAGUACUGCUGCUCAUAUCGUAUUUCAGUUGAAUGUUGCACUAAUAUAACCUACAAUAUGUUGUAUUUUCUCUACAUUGCCUGAGUUUGAUCAAAAAAUUGUCGCAAGCACUGCUGCUUCUGUUAGUCUCUUCUCCAGAGAGUAUGGGCGUAGAAUGAUGUAAUGUUGCAGUUGUUGCACAGGCUUCCUGUACGUGAAUUGUUACCUAUUUUCUUUUUUACCACUGUACUACACAAUGAGAAUGCAAUGUUAAAUUUUUUUUUUGAGACAUGUGUUGAUGCUUUCAUAUGCAUUUUUGCCAUAUUUUUAUUAAUCAUCGGUGCGUUGCUGUCUGUGAUUGACGUGGUGUUGCCACCUCGCCGGGCUGAAUUGAGCAGACUGUUAGUCUCGGGUCGAAGUGAAAGCACCGGUAAUUUGUCUGUGGUCGGUGCUGUGCUUGGCCCUUGCCUGUUAGCAUCUCUGAGCACUAGCGAUUACCUAUUAGACUUGCCGUGCGGCUGUGCACCGGUGGUAGUUUGUUGGCAGUCGUCCUUCUGA
rnacentral:rRNA from 1 species